AAUUUCUGCUACAAUAGUUCAGUUUCCGUACUUAAUUG
rnacentral:misc_RNA from 1 species